rnacentral:lncRNA from 12 species
AAACCUCUUUGCCAUGCCCGAUCUGAAGAUCUAUUCACUUACAUUCAUGUACAAAGAAGAUGAGAACCUUCCUGGCCAUGGAAACAUGGACACUGUCAUGGGGAAGUUCAGAAGAAGGUAAGGGAACUU